rnacentral:ncRNA from 1 species
AAAGACUUAGUCCUAACCUUACUGUUAAUUUUUGCUAGACACAUACAUGCAAGUAUCUGCGCCCCAGUGUAAAUGCCCUCAUACCCCUUACCAAGGAGAGAGGAGCAGGUAUCAGGCACACCCACAGCUGUAGCCCAAGACGCCUUGCUCUGCCACACCCCCACGGGUACUCAGCAGUAGUUAACCUUAAGCAAUAAGUGUAAACUUGACUUAGUUAUAGCAAACCUAGGGUUGGUAAAUCUUGUGCCAGCCACCGCGGUCACACAAGAGACCCAAAUUAACUGUAUACGGCGUAAAGAGUGGAACUAUGAUGUCACAAUAACUGGGAUCGAAAUACAGCUAAGCCGUCAUAAGCUCAAGGUGUACCUAAGACCCUCAUUAAGAUGGUCCUAGUAUUCUUGAUUAAUUUAACUCCACGAAAGCUAGGGCACAAACUGGGAUUAGAUACCCCAUUAUGCCUAGCCCUAAAUCCUGAUGCUUGCCAUACUAAACGCAUCCGCCUGAGAACUACGAGCACAAACGCUUAAAACUCUAAGGACUUGGCGGUGCCCCAAACCCACCUAGAGGAGCCUGUUCUGUAAUCGAUAACCCACGAUUUACCUAACCACCCCUCGCUAAGGCAGCCUACAUACCGCCGUCGCCAGCUCACCUCCACUGAGAGCUAAACAGUGAGCACAAUAGCUCAACUCGCUAGCAAGACAGGUCAAGGUAUAGCCUAUGGGGUGGAAGAAAUGGGCUACAUUUUCUAUAAUAGAAAACCCACGAAAGGAGGCGUGAAAUAGCCUCCGGAAGGCGGAUUUAGCAGUAAAGCGGGACAAUAGAGCCCCCUUUAAGUUGGCCCUGGGGCACGUACAUACCGCCCGUCACCCUCCUCACAAGCCACAAACCAUCAUAACUAAUAACCCUUACGGCUGAAGAUGAGGUAAGUCGUAACAAGGUAAGUGUACCGGAGAGUGUACUUAGCAUAC